rnacentral:lncRNA from 1 species
AUACCAGACAAUGUCACUGAGAGAUAUUCUCAUUGUCUCUCAGUUUGGAGUGUGACUCCAACCACUAACUGGAUAAUUGUGUUUGGAGGAAAGAGGAACUUUUCAACAAUCAUAAGUGAUCCAGCAGUUAUUGAACUCAGAUAUACUAGUAAUAAUGAUUGGUCUACUAGUAUAAUACCUCUGGACCAGUAUCAAGAGAAACUACAAGAAAGGAGAAGAGAAUGGGAAGCAUCUCAACCUGUUCAACCUGAGGAUAGAAGAGAA